GACGAACGCUGGCGGCGUGCCUAACACAUGCAAGUCGAACGGUGAAGCCCUUCGGGGUGGAUCAGUGGCGAACGGGUGAGUAACACGUGAGCAACCUGCCCCUGGCUCUGGGACAACCACUGGAAACGGUGGCUAAUACCGGAUACGACCCGCCUCGGCAUCGAGUGUGGGUGGAAAGUUUUUCGGCUGGGGAUGGGCUCGCGGCCUAUCAUCUUGUUGGUGAGGUGAAGGCUCACCAAGGCGACGACGGGUAGCCGGCCUGAGAGGGCGACCGGCCACACUGGGACGGAGACACGGCCCAGACUCCUACGGGAGGCAGCAGUGGGGAAUAUUGCACAAUGGGCGAAAGCCUGAUGCAGCGACGCCGCGUGAGGGAUGACGGCCUUCGGGUUGUAAACCUCUUUCAGCUCCGAGAAGCGAAAGUGACGGUAGGAGCAGAAGAAGCACCGGCUAACUACGUG
rnacentral:rRNA from 1 species